ACGAACGCUGGCGGCGUGCCUAAUACAUGCAAGUUGAGCGAUGAAGAUUGGUGCUUGCACCACUUUGAAGAGCAGCGAACGGGUGAGUAACGCGUGGGGAAUCUGCCUUUGAGCGGGGGACAACAUUUGGAAACGAAUGCUAAUACCGCAUAACAACUUUAAACAUAAGUUUUAAGUUUGAAAGAUGCAAUUGCAUCACUCAAAGAUGAUCCCGCGUUGUAUUAGCUAGUUGGUGAGGUAAAGGCUCACCAAGGCGAUGAUACAUAGCCGACCUGAGAGGGUGAUCGGCCACAUUGGGACUGAGACACGGCCCAAACUCCUACGGGAGGCAGCAGUAGGGAAUCUUCGGCAAUGGACGAAAGUCUGACCGAGCAACGCCGCGUGAGUGAAGAAGGUUUUCGGAUCGUAAAACUCUGUUGGUAGAGAAGAACGUUGGUGAGAGUAGAAAGCUCAUCAAGUGACGGUAACUACCCAGAAAGGGACGGCUAACUACGUG
rnacentral:rRNA from 1 species